rnacentral:rRNA from 1 species
AACGCUGGCGGCGUGCCUAACACAUGCAAGUCAACUUGACUGAAGGAGCAAUCUGACAGUAGAGUGGCGCAAGGGUGCGUAACGCGUAAGUAACUUGCCCCAAGGUAAGGAAUAACGUCGAGAAAUCGGCGCUAAUACCCCAUAAUGCAGCGGAUCCGCAUGGAUAUGUUGUUAAAGGUUUACCGCCUUGGGAUAGGCUUGCGUCUGAUUAGUUAGUUGGUGUGGUAACGGCACACCAAGGCUACGAUCAGUGACUGGUCUGAGAGGAUGAUCAGUCACGCUGGAACUGAGACACGGUCCAGACUCCUACGGGAGGCAGCAGUGAGGAAUAUUGGGCAAUGCUCGAAAGAGUGACCCAGCAACGCCGCGUGGAGGAUGAAGGUAUUCUAUAUCGUAAACUCCUGUGAGAGCAGACGAAAGACAGAUUAUUAAUCUGGAUGACUGUAUGCUCAGAGGAAGCCCCGGCUAACUACGUG